rnacentral:misc_RNA from 1 species
UUAUAAUAUUAUGCUCAAUUAAGAGACAAUUACAUUCUUAAACUUUUCGAGUAUAAAUAUGUGUAUAGUAGUAUGUUGCACAGUGUAAGAAAAUGAUUUGUCGGACCUCUAAAAAGAGCGUCCUUCAUUUCAUUAAUGAUCCUUCCGCAGGUUCACCUACGGAAA